rnacentral:rRNA from 1 species
GAUGAACGCUGGCGGCGUGCCUAAUACAUGCAAGUCGAGCGAACGGACGAGAAGCUUGCUUCUCUGAUGUUAGCGGCGGACGGGUGAGUAGCACGUGGAUAACCUACCUAUAAGACUGGGAUAACUUCGGGAAACCGGAGCUAAUACCGGAUAAUAUUUUGAACCGCAUGGUUCAAAAGUGAAAGACGGUCUUGCUGUCACUUAUAGAUGGAUCCGCGCUGCAUUAGCUAGUUGGUAAGGUAACGGCUUACCAAGGCAACGAUGCAUAGCCGACCUGAGAGGGUGAUCGGCCACACUGGAACUGAGACACGGUCCAGACUCCUACGGGAGGCAGCAGUAGGGAAUCUUCCGCAAAGGGCGGAAGCCUGACGGAGCAACGCCGCGUGAGUGAUGAAGGUCUUCGGAUCGUAAAACUCUGUUAUUAGGGAAGAACAUAUGUGUAAGUAACUGUGCACAUCUUGACGGUACCUAAUCAGAAAGCCACGGCUAACUACGUG